AACGCAAAUGGCACUCUAUGGUAUUCCGUAGAGUACGUCUGUUUGAGCGUCGCGAACAUCUCCAUAAUUAGUUUUUUUAAAUUGAUUGUGGGUUUUGAGGUUGUCAUAUAACAAUGACUCCCUUUAAAAUAAUUAGUGAUGACCUUAUGAAUGGGUUAAUACUGUGUGUUAUAAUGGAUUACAUCCAUCACCAGUCAGAGAUUAAUCUCGCCUUAGUAAUUUGUAGUGAUUGCUUCUAACUGCCAUUGGCAAAUAAACUGAUCAAAUCGACCUCAAAUCAGAUGGGAUUACCCGCUGAACUUAA
rnacentral:misc_RNA from 1 species